rnacentral:rRNA from 1 species
UACGUAGGGUGCGAGCGUUGUCCGGAAUUAUUGGGCGUAAAGGGCUCGUAGGCGGUCUGUUGCGUCAGGAGUGAAAACUCGGGGCUUAACCCCGAGCCUGCUUCUGAUACGGGCAGACUAGAGGUAUGCAGGGGAGAACGGAAUUCCUGGUGUAGCGGUGAAAUGCGUAGAUAUCGUUUGGAACGCCAAUGGUGAAAACAGGUUGCUGGGAGUGUGCUGACGCUGAGACACGAAAGCCAGGGGAGCAAACGGG